rnacentral:rRNA from 1 species
UACGUAGGGUGCAAGCGUUAAUCGGAAUUACUGGGCGUAAAGCGUGCGCAGGCGGUUUUGUAAGUCAGAUGUGAAAUCCCCGGGCUUAACCUGGGAACUGCGUUUGAAACUACAAGGCUAGAGUGUGACAGAGGGGGGUGGAAUUCCACGUGUAGCAGUGAAAUGCGUAGAGAUGUGGAGGAACACCGAUGGCGAAGGCAGCCCCCUGGGCCAGCACUGACGCUCAUGCACGAAAGCGUGGGGAGCAAACAGG